GUUUUGUUCUAAUUAAAUGUAUCGUCCUGGGAAUCGCAGCCCAUCGCAGCCCGACUCCAGUUCCAGGAAAUAAACAGAUUAGCAAAGGUCUGUUGGCUAAGCCCAUGUUGGGCUUCCGGGCCCCCUCUUGGGGGCAGGUGCAUUACUCAAAGGUGCUUACACGCUUUAUUCGACCUCUAAGGAGUUCUCUUAUGUCAGAAGUGUAUGUCUUACAAUGGGUUGGGAUGGAGAAGAAAAAGUUCACUGCAUUCAGAUGAGGAAAUAUGUAAAUUCAGUCUACCACUUGUUCUUCCUCUCAGUGUUCACAACCUAAGUGCUGGGAAUUGGUUAUCUUAGGUGUGUAAAGUCAGUUGUGGAAGAAUGUCCACACAGUACAGUAUCCUGCAAAAAAAAAAAAAAAAGUCUGAAGCACAAACUGAACACA